rnacentral:tRNA from 1 species
CGGACUGUAGCGCAGCUUGGUAGCGCACCGUCAUGGGUGUCGGGGUCGGAGGUUCAAAUCCUCUCAGUCCGACCA